GACGAACGCUGGCGGCGUGCCUAAUACAUGCAAGUUGAGCGCUAACGGCUGGUCCUUGUACCCACUGGAUGAGCAGCGAACGGGUGAGUAACGCGUGGGGAAUCUGCCUUUGAGCGGGGGACAACAUUUGGAAACGAAUGCUAAUACCGCAUAAAAACUUUAAACACAAGUUUUAAGUUUGAAAGAUGCAAUUGCAUCACUCAAAGAUGAUCCCGCGUUGUAUUAGCUAGUUGGUGAGGUAAAGGCGCACCAAGCGGAUGAUACAUAGCAGACCUGAGAGGGUGAGCGGCCACAUUGGGACUGGAACACGGCCCAAACUCCUACGAGAGGCAGCAGUAGGGAAUCUUCGGCAAUGGAAGAAAGUCUGAACGAGCAACGCCGCGUGAGAGAAGAAGGUUGUCGGAUCGUAAAACUCUGUUAGUAGAGAAGAACGUUGGGGAGAGUGGAAAGCUCAUCAAGUGACGGUAACGACCCAGAAAGGGACGGCUAACUACGUG
rnacentral:rRNA from 1 species